GUUAGAGGUAUUGGUGCCCGUCUUGAAAAAUGACCCAUGUUGCUGAUGGUGGAGACCAAGUUGCCGGUGUUUGCUCCUGGUGGUGGUAGAGGUGGUCACCGUGGAAAUGGAGGAAGACGAGUUGCCAAUGGACUUGUAGAAAAAGGCCGUGGUUGUGGAGGUAGAGUUUAAGUCAACUCCUGUUCUGUGUAAGGAAAACCUAAUAACACAAAGUGUUUAAUUUGCAAAAUUAUCUUCAUCUUUUUUCUUUUUGGCAACUCUUCUUUAUUCAUCUAAUGCAUCUCAAUUUAUUGAAUGUCCUUUUUUUCAAUAAAAUCGCU